rnacentral:rRNA from 1 species
AAUCAACGCUGGCGGCGUGCCUAACACAUGCAAGUCGAACGCGAAAGGGGAGCAAUCCCUGAUUAGAGUGGCAAACGGGUGAGUAACACGUGGGUGACCUGCCUUCGAGUGGGGGAUAACCUUCCGAAAGGAGGGCUAAUACCGCAUGACAUACCGUGUUUGGAUACACGGAUAUCAAAGCCGGGGAUCGCAAGACCUGGCGCUUGGAGAGGGGCCCGCGUCCGAUUAGCUAGNGGUGAGGUAACGGCUCACCAAGGCUCCGAUCGGUAUCCGGCCUGAGAGGGCGGACGGACACACUGGAACUGAGACACGGUCCAGACUCCUACGGGAGGCAGCAGUGGGGAAUUGUUCGCAAUGGGCGAAAGCCUGACGACGCAACGCCGCGUGGAGGAUGAAG